UACAGAGGGUGCGAGCGUUGUUCGGAAUUAUUGGGCGUAAAGGGCGCGUAGGCGGCGCCACAAGUCACUUGUGAAAACUCUGGGCUCAACUCAGAGCCUGCAAGCGAAACUGCUGUGCUUGAGUGUGAGAGAGGCUCGUGGAAUUGCAGGUGUAGCGGUGAAAUGCGUAGAUAUCUGCAGGAACACCCGUGGCGAAAGCGGCGAGCUGGAUCACUACUGACGCUGAGGAACGAAAGCUAGGGGAGCAAACAGG
rnacentral:rRNA from 1 species